ACGAACGCUGGCGGCGUGCCUAAUACAUGCAAGUUGAGCGCUGAAGGUUGGUACUUGUACCAACUGGAUGAGCAGCAAACGGGUGAGUAACGCGUGGGGAAUCUGCCUUUGAGCGGGGGACAACAUUUGGAAACGAAUGCUAAUACCGCAUAAAAACUUUAAACACAAGUUUUAAGUUUGAAAGAUGCAAUUGCAUCACUCAAAGAUGAUCCCGCGUUGUAUUAGCUAGUUGGUGAGGUAAAGGCUCACCAAGGCGAUGAUACAUAGCCGACCUGAGAGGGUGAUCGGCCACAUUGGGACUGAGACACGGCCCAAACGCCUACGGGAGGCAGCAGUAGGGAAUCUUCGGCAAUGGACGAAAGUCUGACCGAGCAACGCCGCGUGAGUGAAGAAGGUUUUCGGAUCGUAAAACUCUGUUGGUAGAGAAGAACGUUGGUGAGAGUGGAAAGCUCAUCAAGUGACGGUAACUACCCAGAAAGGGACGGCUAACUACGUG
rnacentral:rRNA from 1 species